GACCAAGUAGUUGCAGGAACAUAGUUAUAGGAACAGUUCACUUCUAAACAGUUCUACUAACUAUUGUCCCCCAAAACUGGUUUUAACAUUUGCAUUCACACUGGCCAAGUGGCCAUAGGGACUAUUAGGAGGGGUAAGGGAUCCCAAAAAAAGU